AGGAUCUAAAAUUAAACUUAGUUUGAUUUUCACAAAAAUUGAAUUCUUGGGGUACUUUGAUAUGCUGAAUCUAAACAUGUGUUUAGAUUUUUGAUUAUGGGCCCAGUUUUCAAGUUGGUCCAAGUUGGGGUCCAAAAUUAAACUUUGUUUGAUUUCAGCAAAAAUUGAAUAUAUGGGGUUCUUUGAUAUGCUGAAUCUAAACAUGUAUUUAGAUUUUAGAUUUUUGGUCCAGUUUUCAAGUUGGUCCAAAUUGGGGUCCAAAAUUAAACUUUGUUUGAUUUCAACAAAAAUUGAAUAUAUGGGGUUCUUUGAUAUGCUGAAUCUUACCAUGUUUUUAGAUUUUUUAUUUGUGGGCCCGCUAUCAAAUUGGUUCAUAUUGAGGUCAAAAGGGUCCAAAAUUAAACUUUGUUUGAUUUCAUCAAAAAUUGAAUUAUUGGGGUUCCUUGAUAUGCCAAAUCUAACCGUGUUUUUAGAUUUUUAAUUUUGGGUCCCGUUUUUUAAAUUGGUCUACAUUAAGGUCCAAAGGGUCCAAAAUUAAACUUAGUUUGAUUUUAACAAAAAUUGAAUUCUUGGGGUACUUUGAUAUGCUGAAUCUAAACAUGUGUUUAGAUUUUUGAUUAUGGGACCAUUUUUCAAGUUGGUCCAAGUUAGGGUCCAAAAUUAAACUUUUUUUUUUUGUUUGAUUUCAACAAAAAUUGAAUAUAUGGGGUUCUUUGAUAUGCUGAAUCUAACCAUGUAUUUUGAUUUUGGACAUUGGACCAUGAUAGGUAAAUUAAAAAAAUUAAAGUUCUUAGACCAGAUUCUUUCUGUGUCAGAAACCUAUGCUGUGUCAAAUAUUUAAUCACAAUCCAAAUUCAGAGCUGUAUCAAGCUUGAAUGUUGUGUCCAUACUUGCCCCAACUGUUCAGGGUUCGACCUCUGCGGUCGUAUCAAGCUGCGCCCAGCGAAGCAUUUUAUUGUAACUUCCAGACAUAACUUGUGUGUAAGUGUAUGGAUUUCUCUGACAUUGUACCACAAGGUUCUAUAUCACAAAGGGAAUGCUGGGAUUGAUUUUGGGGGGUAAUUACCUCCACAUUUUAGGAAUUAGGGGCCAAAAAGGGGCAAAAAACAAGCAUUUUUUUCUAGUUUCAUGACAAUAACUUGUGUGUAAGUGUAUGGUUCUAUCUGACAUUGUAUCACAAGGUUCCAUUUCACAAAGGGAAUGCUGGGAUUGAUUUUGGGGGUAAUUGGCAGAUUCCAUAUAAGAAAGUGAAACAACUCCCAUAAGCACGUUAGGCAAAAAUCAUAGCAAUGAACUUCUGUUUUUGAAUACAUGCUUUACUAAUAAAGAUAAAGACAAUUUGACCAACAAAAAAAUUAUGAGCAUCAUCCUUUUUUAAUAAACGAAGCCUUAAAUAUUAUGUUUCUGACAUAAGAUUUGACAGACUUUAUUGUUUCUGACAUAAGAUUUGACAGAUUUUAUUUUUUCUGACAUAAGAUUUGACAGACUUUAUUAUUUCUGACAUAAGAUUUGACAGACUUUAUUUUUUCUGACAUAAGAUUUGACAGACUUUAUUAUUUCUGACAUAAGAUUUGACAGACAAAUUGAGUUUCUGACAUAAGAUUUUGACAGACUUGAUUCUGACAUAAGAAUUUUCAUACAUAAGAUAUUUUGACAGACAAUAUAUAUUUGUUUUUUUUGACCGACAUUGGAAAUCAAAUCCUAGUUGAAAGUCGUUUUUAAAACUCCUGGAAAAUACUGCAGCCUAACAUCUAACAAGAUUUCACUACAGGUCAAAGAACUUUAACUGUUAGCACAUUCAAAUGUUUCAGACAUAAGAAAACAAGUUUGACAGAUCUUAUGUAGGAAACAUAUAAGUUAAAAUUAUUGCUUGAAUAAAGUUAAAUGAAAGAAUCAA